GAUGAACGCUGGCGGCGUGCCUAAUACAUGCAAGUCGAGCGAACGGACGAGAAGCUUGCUUCUCUGAUGUUAGCGGCGGACGGGUGAGUAACACGUGGAUAACCUACCUAUAAGACUGGGAUAACUUCGGGAAACCGGAGCUAAUACCGGAUGAUAUUUUGAACCGCAUGGUUCAGAAGUGAAAGACGGUCUUGCUGUCACUUAUAGAUGGAUCCGCGCUGCAUUAGCUAGUUGGUAAGGUAACGGCUUACCAAGGCAACGAUGCAUAGCCGACCUGAGAGGGUGAUCGGCCACACUGGAACUGAGACACGGUCCAGACUCCUACGGGAGGCAGCAGUAGGGAAUCUUCCGCAAUGGGCGAAAGCCUGACGGAGCAACGCCGCGUGAGUGAUGAAGGUCUUCGGAUCGUAAACCUCUGUUAUUAGGGAAGAACAUAUGUGUAAGUAACUGUGCACAUCUUGACGGUACCUAAUCAGAAAGCCACGGCUAACUACGUG
rnacentral:rRNA from 1 species